rnacentral:lncRNA from 1 species
AUGGAAGAUCCCAAUAAAAAUAGCUCCUCAUGUAGCAUUACAAUUUGAUCGUUCAGACCAACAAUCCUGUCAGACUUGUUAUUUAUUAGGUCCAUGAGAUCAUCAAGAACGGAAUCAACAAUGAAGAGUGAAACCAUGCCAGUCUUUGGAGCCAUAUCAAUUGGCAUCUUUUAGACUGUGAUGCAGUGCUCCUUGAUCUUUGAUUUCAAGAGCUCGAACUUUGGUAACAAAUCGGAAAGAGCUAGGCCCACUAUUCCACUCUCCGGGACUUGAUCAUUCUUGGUGAAAACUAUGAAACUUCCUAUCUCAUGGAGCAGAGAUUUGAUAUCCGCCAUUGCUUUCUCGGUUUCUUCCACCUCAGUAGUGGUCUGCAAUUGCAUGUCCGAAAUGCAUGUGUCUCAAACUCAUCUUAUUAAGGAGGACAUCCGGUAUUUCAACUUCAGAAGAACUGUUCACAACAAGAAAUUCUAGUUUUUGGAAGCUUUCCAUUGACGUUCAUCUUGAUCCCGAGGUUGCGUGAAACAUAAUACAAUCAAGGAGAAAAACAAGGAAUAAAAGAAAUUUCCUAACUCGUUAAGCACAGCUUGGAUAUCUAUCACUAUAUUCUUUGUGGGCUGCAAAUGCAUUGAUGUAUCCCCAAGAAAAGUAAUAAAAAAUCCUAGCUCUGUCUGGAGAUUUUGGAAAGCAAUGUAUUCUGCGUUACAUAGGAUGGAUUCUACCAUUCGGAGUAGAAAGUUGAUAAAGGCUGCAACAACUUCAUUAGGACAUGACGAGCUUUGCUGGUUUGGGACAGUGAAGAGUUCUUCAAGCUUUUUCCCACGUGACAAUAGUUGUUGGAGACUGUGUCUAAUUUUUUCAACAUCUUUUGAGUUUCCGAUCGGCUCCGGAAAAUCAACCCUAUCGGUUGAUGGGAGCCCAAGUUGGCAGGACAAAAUUGACUCAUACUCAAGCACGAUUAUAUGGAAACCUAUUGGCCCAGUAAACAAUUUAUCUUCGUCUGGUAAAUAGUACCCCUCUUCCGUGCCCAGGCAGUCUGUACCUGUUUCUCCCUCUCCUGAUGACAUAAGGAAAGGAUGCAAGCGAUUGCAGGGAAAAAAGUAUUUGUGUUUAAAAGCUAAUAGAUUCUACCAAUUGUUUGGAUUAAAUACAAACAUUAAAGAAGCAAGAAAAAAUUUAGUAUAUAGCUUUGGAGCUUGCAGAUCUGAAAAUGGAGUUUGAAACCGGAAUAUGGAGAAGACAGAAAUUAGUGCGGGGACAGUGGGUUUGAAUUAUUGAAUAUAGUGGACUACAUAAUUCACACUUUUCAAAUAGCUUUCAAUUAAAAAUGGAUGUAAAGAAAAAACCACAAACGUCCUUUUCAACCAAGCCUUUUCUGUUAAUUAAUAUCUUCACCAGAUUGCCGUCCUCUCCAUCGCCAAGAAAAAUUGUCGGUGCAAUAAAGUGCGAAAUUUUUGGUUUGCAACACUAAUUCACUAAGGGCAUCUCCAAUCAUGACACCAUUGCACCAUUUUGUAUUCUUUUUUGGUCCAAAGUUGUUCCAAUUCAAUACCAAACUUUACACUAUUUUACACCAUGACACCAUUUUGCACCAUUUUUUGGUGCAAAAUUGCUCCAAUCCAACACCAAAUUUGCUCAAUUUUGGUGCAAAAUGAUGCAAAGUGAAUAGUGCAAUACUAUUCACUUUGCACCAUUUUUCACCAAAAUAGUGCAAAGUGUAAAAUGUCUUUUUUGCUCUUAUUUAAUAUUUCCCAAAUAAAUUUGUUGAGGAUAUUUAUGUUAUUUAUGCUAUAUAUUUUUUAAUCUAAUAAAUUAUUAUUAUUUUUAUUAAUAUUAUUUGUAUUUAAAAUAAAUUUUAAAUGUAAGACAUAAUAAUUAAUAAAUUAAUUAAAAGACAAAAACAAUUCAAAAUACAUCAAACACAAUUAUUUAUACCAAACAGGGGCAAAUGAGUUGAUAACAUAUUCAACUUCAAAUGUUAUGUCUCUGGUUUUUAUUUUGAGUUCUUCCAGCUCUGCCUCUUGCUGCACAAAUAUAUUGGCGAUGGAAGAUCCCAAUAAAAAUAGCUCCUCAUGUAGCAUUACAAUUUGAUCGUUCAGACCAACAAUCCUGUCAGACUUGUUAUUUAUUAGGUCCAUGAGAUCAUCAAGAACGGAAUCAACAAUGAAGAGUGAAACCAUGCCAGUCUUUGGAGCCAUAUCAAUUGGCAUCUUUUAGACUGUGAUGCAGUGCUCCUUGAUCUUUGAUUUCAAGAGCUCGAACUUUGGUAACAAAUCGGAAAGAGCUAGGCCCACUAUUCCACUCUCCGGGACUUGAUCAUUCUUGGUGAAAACUAUGAAACUUCCUAUCUCAUGGAGCAGAGAUUUGAUAUCCGCCAUUGCUUUCUCGGUUUCUUCCACCUCAGUAGUGGUCUGCAAUUGCAUGUCCUCAAGAGCGUCGAAAAAGCCAGAGUGCAAGGAACUUACUAACUUGUUGACCAUAGAUUCAAAAUCAGUUAAAGCAUCAAUAAUUUCUUCAUCUUGAUCCCGAGGUUGCGUGAAACAUAAUACAAUCAAGGAGAAAAACAAGGAAUAAAAGAAAUUUCCUAACUCGUUAAGCACAGCUUGGAUAUCUAUCACUAUAUUCUUUGUGGGCUGCAAAUGCAUUGAUGUAUCCCCAAGAAAAGUAAUAUAAAUCCUAGCUCUGUCCGGAGAUUUUGGAAAGCAAUGUAUUCUGCGUUACAUAGGAUGGAUUUUACCAUUCGGAGUAGAAAGUUGAUAAAGGCUGCAAUAACUUCAUUAGGACAUGACGAGCUUUGCAUGUUUGGGACAGUGAAGAAUUCCUCAAGCUUUCUCCCAUAUGACAAUAGUAGUUGCGACAAUGGUGUUUCUGAUACAUCCCCACUUCACUGAAGUACAGCAAUGGAUGAGAUUCAUCAUCAUUACUGGUAAAAACAUAAUCAUACGUGAUACGAUCAUCAGAUAUAGUCACCAUUAUUAGUACACUAAAACAAAAAUGUAUGAAUAGAGAAGAAAAAAGAAGAGAAAUAAGGAACUUACAUAUUGACAAUCUUAAAAAAAAAAAAUUCGUCAGCUAUUCUCAAGCACAUUUCACUCAAUAGAUCCUGAAUCUUGCAAGUUUUGAUUGAACCAUCAAAUUUUUUUUUACCAACAAGUACCAGGCUCCUAUCAAUUAGUUUCAUCGCAUAUUCUAAUGCCACAUCCUCUAAACUCUUUUGCUCUUCCUUCUUUAUAUAUCCUUCAGCUAUCCAUAAUGAUAUGAACUUUUGUAUGUGGAUUUCCUCAUCCUCUUUGAAAUCUCCAAAGUAAAGAAAACAUGGUUUCAAGUGCAUUGGCAAAUGAUAAUAGCUAAGUUCUAAUAUCUGGAUGUAGUUGUCUGAAUUUUUGGAUAAAUGUGAACUUAAAUUUCUUGCAACUUCUUGCCACAAGUGUUCUUUUUUCUCCAUAUUUGCAAGAACUCCAGCUAUCACGACCACAGCAAGUGGUAGGCCGUGACAUUUUUUUGCAAUCUCCUUCGCAAUGUCUAGCAGUUCUUGAGGACAACUUUUAUCUCUGAACACUUUCUUUUGUAAUAAAUCCCAACAUUCAACUUCCGAUAGAAAAGGAAGUGUAUUUAUGACACAAUGAGGUGACACUUUCGAACUUACUUCUUUAUUCCGAGUGGUGAAUAAGAUUCUACUUCCAGUUCUGUCAUUUGGAAAAAAUCCUUUCAAAUCAUCCCAUAAUUUUGUAUCCCAUAUAUCAUCCAGGACAAUGAGAUAUCGCCUUCCUUUUAAACUUUUGUAAACAUAUUCAGCCAAACUUUCUAUGUCCUGGUUUGCAAUUGUUUCUUGCUUAAUAUUUUUUAUCGAGCUCAAAAUGUUAAUCAAAAUAUUUUUCUUAUUAUAUGUUUGAGAAACAACUGAUAGACUACGGAUGGAUCAUUAUAUAGUUUAUUUGCUAAAGUCAUCUUACCAAGUCCAGGCAUUCCAAAUAUGAAGAUAAUUUGCAAUUGCUCUGCUCCUCUAACAAGUUGUUCUGCAAUUUCGAGUGCAACAUCUUCAAACCCCACAAUAACAUCUUCCAAAAUGGAAGGGUCUUUAGGUUGCAAUGAUAAGUGCUCACCUGGAUAUUUUGCAAUUUCUGCCAUUCCAGCCACAUCAAUAUCGUUCUUCAUUUCUUUGAUGGCCAUCAUAAUAAGCUGAAUCUUCUCAAUGAGCUGAGGAUGUCUGAGGGUGAGAUACCAAACAGGGGGAAAUGAGUUGAUAACAUAUUCAACUUCAAAUGCUACGUCUCUGGUUUUUAUUAUGAGUUCUUGCUGCUCUGCUUCUUGCUGCACAGCUAUACUGGUGACGGAAGAUCCCAACAAAAAUAGUUCCUCAUGUAGCAUUACAAUUUGAUCGUUCUGACCAAGAAUCCAGUCAGACUUGUUAUUUAUUAGGUCCAUGAGAUCAUCAAGAACGGAAUCAACAAUGAAGAGUGAAACCAUGCCAGUCUUUGGAGCCAUAUCAAUUGGCAUCUUUUAGACUGUGAUGCAGUGCUCCUUGAUCUUUGAUUUCAAGAGCUCGAACUUUGGUAACAAAUCGGAAAGAGCUAGGCCCACUAUUCCACUCUCCGGGACUUGAUCAUUCUUGGUGAAAACUAUGAAACUUCCUAUCUCAUGGACCAUAGCUUUGAUAUCCGCCAUUGCUUUCUCGGUUUCUUCUACCUCAGUAGUGGUCUGCAAUGGCAUGUCCUCAAGAACGUCGAAAAUGCCAGAGUGCAAGAAAC